rnacentral:rRNA from 1 species
AGCUACCAUGCAGUCGAGCGGUAGCACAGAGAGCUUGCUCUCGGGUGACGAGCGGCGGACGGGUGAGUAAUGUCUGGGAAACUGCCUGAUGGAGGGGGAUAACUACUGGAAACGGUAGCUAAUACCGCAUAAUGUCGCAAGACCAAAGUGGGGGACCUUCGGGCCUCAUGCCAUCAGAUGUGCCCAGAUGGGAUUAGCUAGUAGGUGGGGUAACGGCUCACCUAGGCGACGAUCCCUAGCUGGUCUGAGAGGAUGACCAGCCACACUGGAACUGAGACACGGUCCAGACUCCUACGGGAGGCAGCAGUGGGGAAUAUUGCACAAUGGGCGCAAGCCUGAUGCAGCCAUGCCGCGUGUGUGAAGAAGGCCUUCGGGUUGUAAAGCACUUUCAGCGGGGAGGAAGGCGUUAAGGUUAAUAACCUUGUCGAUUGACGUUACCCGCAGAAGAAGCACCGGCUAACUCCGUGCCAGCAGCCGCGGUAAUACGGAGGGUGCAAGCGUUAAUCGGAAUUACUGGGCGUAAAGCGCACGCAGGCGGUCUGUCAAGUCGGAUGUGAAAUCCCCGGGCUCAACCUGGGAACUGCAUUCGAAACUGGCAGGCUAGAGUCUUGUAGAGGGGGGUAGAAUUCCAGGUGUAGCGGUGAAAUGCGUAGAGAUCUGGAGGAAUACCGGUGGCGAAGGCGGCCCCCUGGACAAAGACUGACGCUCAGGUGCGAAAGCGUGGGGAGCAAACAGGAUUAGAUACCCUGGUAGUCCACGCCGUAAACGAUGUCGAUUUGGAGGUUGUGCCCUUGAGGCGUGGCUUCCGGAGCUAACGCGUUAAAUCGACCGCCUGGGGAGUACGGCCGCAAGGUUAAAACUCAAAUGAAUUGACGGGGGCCCGCACAAGCGGUGGAGCAUGUGGUUUAAUUCGAUGCAACGCGAAGAACCUUACCUGGUCUUGACAUCCACAGAACUUUCCAGAGAUGGAUUGGUGCCUUCGGGAACUGUGAGACAGGUGCUGCAUGGCUGUCGUCAGCUCGUGUUGUGAAAUGUUGGGUUAAGUCCCGCAACGAGCGCAACCCUUAUCCUUUGUUGCCAGCGGUUCGGCCGGGAACUCAAAGGAGACUGCCAGUGAUAAACUGGAGGAAGGUGGGGAUGACGUCAAGUCAUCAUGGCCCUUACGACCAGGGCUACACACGUGCUACAAUGGCAUAUACAAAGAGAAGCGACCUCGCGAGAGCAAGCGGACCUCAUAAAGUAUGUCGUAGUCCGGAUUGGAGUCUGCAACUCGACUCCAUGAAGUCGGAAUCGCUAGUAAUCGUAGAUCAGAAUGCUACGGUGAAUACGUUCCCGGGCCUUGUACACACCGCCCGUCACACCAUGGGAGUGGGUUGCAAAAGAAGUAGGUAGCUUAACCUUCGGGAGGGCGCUACCA